rnacentral:rRNA from 1 species
UUACCACCUUGACAUCGCAGAGAUUGGUUCGCCGACAGGUGCUGCAUGGCUGUCGUCAGCUCGUGUCGUGAGAUGUUGGGUUAAGUCCCGCAACGAGCGCAACCCCACUUUAGUUGCCAUCAUAUGGGACUCUGAAGAACUGCCAGUGAUAACUGGAGGAAGGUGGGGAUGACGUCAAGUCCUCAUGGCCCUUACGGUGGGCUACACACGUGCUACAAUGGUCUACACAGGGCACGGCAACGUAAGCAAUCCCGAAAGAACCUCAGUUCGGAUUGCACUCUGCAACUCGAGUGCAUGAAGCUGGAAUUACUAGUAAUCGUGAUCAGCGUGCACGGUGAAUGCGUUCCCGGGUCUUGUACACACCGCCCGUCACACCAUGGGAGUUGGUCACCUAA